rnacentral:lncRNA from 1 species
GAAGUCGGUAACCUUUGUGACACAGAUUCUUAUAUUGGUUAACUAGUAUAUCUUUUUUGCACAAUGAAUUUACAAAACGUUGUACUGGCGUAUGCAUAACUACAGUAGGUGUCAAAGAUGAUCAUAAGUUAGUUAGAAAUGUUUGUUUUGUAUGCCAAAUUGAAAAAUAAUUCUGAAUGAGUCGUGUGUGUUAAAAACAUAUACAGUACUUCUUGUUAUGCACCAGAUGUGCAUUUCGACAA